CCUACGGGCGGCAGCAGUGAGGAAUAUUGGUCAAUGGGCGCGAGCCUGAACCAGCCAAGUAGCGUGAAGGAUGACUGCCCUACGGGUUGUAAACUUCUUUUAUAAAGGAAUAAAGUGAGGCACGUGUGCCUUUUUGUAUGUACUUUAUGAAUAAGGAUCGGCUAACUCCGUGCCAGCAGCCGCGGUAAUACGGAGGAUCCGAGCGUUAUUCGGAUUUAUUGGGCUUAAAGGGAGCGUAGAUGGGAUGUUAAGUCAGUUGUGAAAGUUUGCGGCUCAACCGUAAAAUUGCAAUUGAUACUGGCAGCCUUGAGUGCAGUAGAGGUAAGCGGAAUUCGUGGUGUAGCGGUGAAAUGCUUAGAUAUCACGAAGAACACCGAUGGCGAAGGCAGCUUACUAAACUGCCACUGACAUUGAUGCGCGAAAGUGUGGGUAUCAAACAGGAUUAGAUACCCUAGUAGUC
rnacentral:rRNA from 1 species